rnacentral:rRNA from 1 species
AGUCACUGACAUUAGAUACCCCUGUAGUCCCAGGGGUGUAAACGCUGCAGACUUGGUGUUGGAGGCCCUUUGGGGGCAUUCAGUGCCGGAGAGAAGUUGUUAAGUCUGCUACUUGGGGAGUACGUCCGCAAGGAUGAAACUUAAAGGAAUUGGCGGGGGAGCACCGCAACGGGAGGAGCGUGCGGUUUAAUUGGAUUCAACACCGUAAACUCACCAGGGAAGACUGUUACAUGAAGGCCGAGAUGAAGACUCUGCUAGAUUUUCAG